GCCAGGCCGCUUUGCAAAGCUCGCCUGUUUCAAACCCCGUCAGGUCCGGGAGGAAGCAGCGGUAGAAACGGGUGAAUUUGUGCGAAGUGGCCUUUUUUG
rnacentral:SRP_RNA from 1 species